CAGUCGCCGCGGUAAUACGGAGGGAGCUAGCGUUGUUCGGAAUUACUGGGCGUAAAGCGCGCGUAGGCGGUUACUCAAGUCAGAGGUGAAAGCCCGGGGCUCAACCCCGGAACUGCCUUUGAAACUAGGUGACUAGAAUCUUGGAGAGGUCAGUGGAAUUCCGAGUGUAGAGGUGAAAUUCGUAGAUAUUCGGAAGAACACCAGUGGCGAAGGCGACUGACUGGACAAGUAUUGACGCUGAGGUGCGAAAGCGUGGGGAGCAAACAGGAUUAGAUACCCGAGUAGUCCCUGUCUUUAUACA
rnacentral:rRNA from 1 species